CACGUAGGGCGCAAGCGUUGUCCGGAAUUAUUGGGCGUAAAGAGCUCGUAGGCGGUCUGUUGCGUCCGCUGUGAAAACUCGGGGCUUAACCCCGAGCCUGCAGUGGAUACGGGCAGACUAGAGGUAGGUAGGGGAGAAUGGAAUUCCCGGUGUAGCGGUGAAAUGCGCAGAUAUCAGGAGGAACACCGGUGGCGAAGGCGGCUCUCUGGAACGCAACUGACGCUGAGGAGCGAAAGCGUGGGGAGCGAACAGG
rnacentral:rRNA from 1 species